rnacentral:rRNA from 1 species
AGCAGCCGCGGUAAUUCCAGCUCCAAUAGCGUAUAUUAAAGUUGUUGCAGUUAAAAAGCUCGUAGUUGAAUUUCGGGAUCAAUGUUUCGGUCAUGCCGUUGGUAUGUACUGAUAUUAUUGGUUUCUCACCUUCUAAAGAACCGUAAUGCCAUUAAUUUGGUGUCACGGGGAAUUAGGACUGUUACCUUGAAAAAAUUAGAGUGUUUAAAGCAGGCUCACGCUUGAAUACAUUAGCAUGGAAUAAUGAAAUAGGACAUCCGAUUCUAUUUUGUGGUUUCUAGGAUCGAUGUAAUGAUUAAUAGGGAUAGUUGGGGGCAUUAGUAUUCAAUUGUCAGAGGUGAAAUUCUUGGAUUUAUUGAAGACUAACUACUGCGAAAGCAUUUGCCAAGGAUGUUUUCAUUAAUCAAGAACGAAA